CAGGUGCAAUUAAGUUAGCCAAUCAAUAAACCUAACAAUCGAGAGAUUAUCCAGGUGGGCCUGACUUAAUCAUAUAAACUCUUUAAAUCUGGGUGUAGAGGUUAGCGACAGAGAAAUCAGAUACUAGAUGCAUCCUUUCUGACUUGAAGAUGAAGGCAAUUUUGUGACAAGUGAUGCUGGUGGCAUGUAAGACCUGUAAGCAGGCCCCAGCUGACAGUCCGUUAGAAAGGAAACAGGGGCUGCAGUUCUCCAACUGCAAAACACGGAAUUUUGCUUGAAAUUUAACUUGGAAGCAGACUUUCUCCCAGAGCUUCUAGAUGAAAACUCAGCCUGGCCAACCCCUUGGUGUCAGCUUUGUGUUACCCUGAGCAGGUACCCAAGACAUAUGGUUCUGGACUGCGGACCCACGGAAAGGGUGAGCAUCCACAUCUACCACCCGUGACCAGACUUCUCCACCUGUUGGCGAGCUUAAGUUAAAGUUAUCAAUAUAUGCCCCAAAACAGCAAUCACCUGGAUGAGAAGCAGAUGACAUCUAAUGUAGACUGUGAAUCCCAAGACACAGACCAGUGAUGUUGAGCAUCUUUCCAUGUGCUUGUUGGCCAUUUGUAUAUCAUCUUUGAAGACAUGUCCAAGUCCUUUGCCCAUUUUUUGUUAGCCUUGAGCUAACUGCUGCCAAUCGUCCUCUUUUUGCUGAGGAAGACUGGCCCUGAGCUAACAUCCAUGCUCAUCUUCCUCUGCUUUCUAUGUGGGACGCCUACCACAGCAUGGCUUGCCAAGCGGUGCCAUGUCCCCCGCACCUGGGAUCUGAAACUGCAAACCCUGGGCCACUGAAGCAGAACAUGCACACUUAACUGCUGCGCCACCAGCCAGCCUCUGUAUGUGUCUUUCUGAUACUACCUUUUCACUCAACUUUAUGAUUUUGAGGUUCAUCAAUAUUAGUACUUGUGAUAACUACAUCACGUAGAGUUUUACUGCUAUAUAUUAUUUACAUUUAUCAAAAUUACUGAUGUAUUUGAAAGUUUCACCAUCUUGUUUUAUGCUUUCUAAACAUAUUCUCUUAUAUCUUGCGUUUCUAUAUGAGUUUUCAAUUUUUUCCUAUGUGCCCAUUUGUAAAUAUUUUACUUUAUUUUGAUUAAUUUAUAUUUACCAUAAAUUUUUAUUAUGCAAAUUUGAAUUAGUAUUUUUAUUCCUUAUCUCUAUUCUGAAACUUAAAUAUCCAAACAACGUAAAACACUUUAAAUUUAAUUACUCAACUAUUUAUCUUUAACACUCUUGUUUUUCAAGGUAUUAGUCUUUGUGAUAUAAUAUUUUUAGGUAUAUUGACAUAAAUACUUGCUAAUAUUUAUUUUAGGAUCGUUGCACCUAAAUUCAUGAAUGAAACUAAUCUAUAAUUUUCCUUCCUUGUAAUGUCCAUGUCAAAUUUGGGAUUCAGGUUAGAAUUUGCCCAAAGAAAAUUUUCUUCUUUUCUAUUCUGGAAAAAGAGUUCAUUGAAGUUUCGUGUAAUUUCCUCCUUUAGUAUUUGAGGGAAAACUCACUGUUGAUGCCAUCUGGAGCUGGAAAUUUCUCUGCAAAGACUUGAAUUUCUUCAAAAUAGAUAAAACUUUAAUGUUUUCUUUUCUUUCCCAUUUUCCUUUUCUUCAAGCAUGUACAAAGGCGUGUUUUCUUCUAAAAAAAUAUUGCAAAUUGCAAUCAUUUGCAACCAUUCAAAUUGUCAAAUUUAUUGGCACAUAUUUCUUUUAGUUCAUUUUCAUGAUCAAUAUUUUUCAUCCAACUAUAAACAUAUCUUUGUCUUUAUAUUUAACAUAUUUCUCUUAAGCAACACAGCUUUAUUUUCAUCCAUUCUGAUAAUCAAUUUUACUUUUACUAUCAAUAUUCUAUUUGACCAUCUGCUUGAAUUUCCACUUUUAGUCCUUUCCUGCUAUCUUUUGGACUAAUAAGUUUUUAAUUAUUACACUUUUUCUAUUACUUUCUUGGCUCCUUUCCCCUUUACAACUUCUUAUUCUUAUAAUGGAUACGUGGAAGCAUCCUUGAUUUAUUGUAGUCCAAAACAAAUUAUUAUUUUUAUCAAUUCCCUGGUAUUGCUAAAAUAUUAGAAUAUUUAAACUCUAUUUCCCUCUUCUAUAUUUUAUUUUAUUUAUUUUAGUUUUACAUAUAUUUUAAACUCUAUAAACAUUAUUUUUACAGUCAAAUUUUUAUAUUUACUCAUACAUUUAUCAUUUUUGAUAUUCUUCAUUUGCUGCUAUAUUCCUGCAUUACAGACCUUAUUUAUUUUACUUCUGCCUGACAAGCUCAUAGUUUUUUCUGCUGGCUGUUGACAAAUGCCUCUGGUUUUGUUUAUCUGAAAAGUCUUUAUUUCAACUUGAUUUUGGAAGGCUAUUUUUAUUGUGUGUAAAAUUCAACAUUAGCAAUUAUUUUCUUCCAGGACAUUGCAAAUGCCAUUCCGUAAUGCCCUGAAUUUCAUCUUUUAAAAGUUAGCUGUCAUUGUCAUUGUUUUCCCUUCAAAGGCCUGUGUUCCCUGCCCCACAUGUAAACACCUGGCUGUUUUGAAGAUUUUUCCUUUUUGUCCCUGGUUGUCUGCAGCUUUACUAUAAUGUUCUCUGAUUUGGUUUUUCUUGUAUUUAACUUUCGGACUUUACUGAGCUUCUUAAAUGUGUAGAUUAAUACUUUCCAUUAGUUGCAGAUAAUUGUCACCCAUUGUCUCUUCAUAUAUUGGUUUUGUUUUCUCCCCUCCCCUCCCUUCUCAUUCUAGGUUUCUUUCUAUAUAUAUGUUAGUCAAUUUGAGCAUGUAUAAUAUGUCAAGACUGUUUUGUAAUUUUUGAUUAUUUUAUACUCUGUGCUACUCCCUAGAUAUUUUCAGUUGAAAAACUUAUGUUAGUCUGUGUUCAAUUUUCUGAUAAUCCUUCCUUUUAGUUAUUCAUUUCAUGUACUGUCACUUUGAAUUCUAGAAUUUUAUGUGUAUUUUACAAUUUAAUACUAUCAAAAUUCUCCAUCUCUUCCUCUCUUUUGUUAGUUUCCCCCUCUAUUUUCUUUAGCAUAUUAAUUAGAGAUCUUUUAACAUCUUUGCCUAUUCUAACUUGAUUGUCUUUGGAUAUGUUCUAAUUGCCUAUUCAUUUUUUUCUCUAGUCAUAUUUCCAUGCCUCGCUUCUAUUUUCAGUGUAUACGAUUGUGUGUGUGUGAGUGUGGAUUUUCUAAUUGCAUGCGGAUCAUUAUUCAUAAACAAACUGUUGAUGUUCCAGGUGAUGAUAUCAUUUUCCAGUGAAUAUUCCCCUUUCCUCUAUUACACAGAUAUGAGAACAAGCAACAGAUUUUUUAUUUUGAUAUUUGUUAUUGUCAAAUUGAUCACUCUUUCUGUUUAUGAUUUGUAUUAAUUCUUUCUUAUUUAAGAAAGUCUUAUUCAGUGCAAAAUCAUAAAAUUUGCCCCCUUUUCUGUUCCCUGGUAGUUUUCUAGUUUGUGUUUUGACAUUUAAGCCAAUA
rnacentral:lncRNA from 1 species